rnacentral:misc_RNA from 1 species
GAUGAAGAACGCAGUGAAAUGCGAUAUGUAGUGUGAAUUGCAGAAUUCAGUGAAUCAUCGAGUUUUUGAACGCAUAUUGCGCCCUCUGGUAUUCCGGGGGGCAUGCCUGUUCGAGCGUCAUUAAAUAACCCUCAAGCAUAGCUUGGUGUUGGGCUUUUUUACGUCCUUGACUGGGAUGGGCCUAAAAAUUAGUGGCGAUGGCUUUUUUACUUUCAAGCGUAGUAAAUCUCGUCUUGCUAAAGAGGAAAAAGAUUUUUUUUCUGCCAAAAAUUUUAACAUUUAAAGUUGACCUCGGAUCAGGUAGGAUUACCCGCUGAACUUAAGCAUAUCAAUAAGCGGAGGA